rnacentral:rRNA from 1 species
CAAGCAUAUCAAUAAGCGGAGGAAAAGAAACCAACAGGGAUUGCCCUAGUAACGGCGAGUGAAGCGGCAACAGCUCAAAUUUGAAAUCUGGCCCUCGGGUCCGAGUUGUAAUUUGUAGAGGAUGCUUUUGGUGCGGUGCCUUCCGAGUUCCCUGGAACGGGACGCCAUAGAGGGUGAGAGCCCCGUCUGGUUGGACACCAAGCCUCUGUAAAGCUCCUUCGACGAGUCGAGUAGUUUGGGAAUGCUGCUCUAAAUGGGAGGUAUAUGUCUUCUAAAGCUAAAUACCGGCCAGAGACCGAUAGCGCACAAGUAGAGUGAUCGAAAGAUGAAAAGCACUUUGAAAAGAGGGUUAAAUAGUACGUGAAAUUGUUGAAAGGGAAGCGCUUGUGACCAGACUUGAGCCCGAUUAAUCAUCCAGCCUUCUGGCUGGUGCACUUGGUCGGCUCAGGCCAGCAUCAGUUCGGCGCGGGGGAUAAAGGUUUCGGGAAUGUGGCUCCUCCGGGAGUGUUAUAGCCCGUUGCGUAAUACCCUGUACUGGACUGAGGUUCGCGCAUCUGCAAGGAUGCUGGCGUAAUGGUCAUCAGCGACCCGUCUUGAAACACGGACCAAGGAGUCGUCUUCGUAUGCGAGUGUUCGGGUGUCAAACCCCUACGCGUAAUGAAAGUGAACGCAGGUGAGAGCUUCGGCGCAUCAUCGACCGAUCCUGAUGUUCUCGGACGGAUUUGAGUAAGAGCAUACGGGGCCGGACCCGAAAGAAGGUGAACUAUGCCUGUAUAGGGUGAAGCCAGAGGAAACUCUGGUGGAGGCUCGCAGCGGUUCUGACGUGCAAAUCGAUCGUCAAAUAUGGGCAUGGGGGCGAAAGACUAAUCGAACCUUCUAGUAGCUGGUUUCCGCCGAA